rnacentral:rRNA from 1 species
AUGGCCGAACCCAUAUCUUCCGACAGAUUGGAAGUUGUUGACGAGAUGGACAUAGGCAAAUCAGCCCAAGAAUUAACCAUGGAGAAGGAGGAGAUGGCCGCUGAGGAAGAGAAUUUUGCUUCAUACAGAAGUGCCUGGGAAUCUAGAUGGGGACCCGAGGGGUGCGGUUUCUUCGAAGACACAACGCAAUUGAGCUCCAUGCAUUUCACACACUUGACACCUAAACCCAGCUUAGACGAUGCUAUCGUCGCGGAGACCUUGCAGAUCCUCUCCAUUAAACUGACAAAAAUUAAAGGUGGCUUCAAAUUGCCAUUGUCUGUGUAUGGUGUGGUUGCUGCUCGGGACAGUGUCGAUAACAGUCGCAACCUUCUCUUCGCGCACAGUAGGAUAACGCCCCAAAGAAUCAGGCAACACAAUCCAUAUUUGCGCUUGAUUGGGCCGUCUCGUGCAAUUCUCUGCAGAGACCCUGUUCGCUUUGAAAUCCAGCUAAAAGUUGAACGUGGAGCAGUGUCUCGAGAUAGAGCAUUGAUCAGCGCAACUCGUGAUUUCUACGCUCGUCAUCCUGGUGUGCAUACCAUCUGCUUUGAGAACCGCUUCUGCAAAAUAGAGUUAUGCGUCGAGCGGCUUGUGGAGACGAUCCAGGCCACAAUCUGCAGUGUUCGUGUUGUUAAACAGGGGACACGGCAGCGUGUUGAAAGUCGAUGCCGAGUUUCUUGCUCGACAACAUCAUACUCACGCAAGAUCAUCGAUGGUAAACCUACUUAUGUUGCUAAUGCCCCGUCUGGUGAAGUCGUGCUGCUUGAUCGUUUUAAAAAAGCAAUGCCCAGUGGUUCAGAUGGCUACCUUGAUCUGUCGAGGCGUGUGGUCUCUGUAGAACAUGAAGGCAGCCUGAAAGUUGUCGUGCAGACUUGCUCGUCAUUCGGUGAUAUCAUUGCAGAAGGACAUGUCUCCUUGGCAUCCAAAUAUUUUGGCUUCAGCCAGAAGAAAUUUAACGUUGAUGAUGCUGAGCUGGAGAUAACCGUUGCUUGGUCCCUCCUUGUUGUGGACAAGGACGAUAUCGUGAGACCGGUGUUUAUUUGA